UAACAGGCGUAGCAAUACGUGCUGACGAGCGGCGAACGGGUGAGUAAUGCUUCGGAAUCUACCCAGUAGUGGGGAAUAACCAUCCGAAAGGAUGGCUAAUACCGCAUACGUCCUACGGGAGAAAGCGGGGGAUCGUAAGACCUCGCGCUAUCGGAUGAGCCGAAGCCGGAUUAGCUAGUUGGUAGGGUAACGGCCUACCAAGGCGACGAUCCGUAGCUGGUCUGAGAGGACGACCAGCCACACUGGGACUGAGACACGGCCCAGACUCCUACGGGAGGCAGCAGUGGGGAAUAUUGGACAAUGGGGGAAACCCUGAUCCAGCGACGCCGCGUGUGUGAAGAAGGCCUGCGGGUUGUAAAGCACUUUUAGUGGGGAUGAAAAGCCUUGGGAUAACACCCCAGGGUCUUGACCUAACCCACAGAAAAAGCACCGGCUAACUCUGUGCCAGCAGCCGCGGUAAUACAGAGGGUGCGAGCGUUAAUCGGAAUUACUGGGCGUAAAGCGUGCGUAGACGGUGAUGUAAGUCGGGUGUGAAAGCCCCGGGCUCAACCUGGGAAUUGCAUUCGAGACUGCAUUGCUUGGGUGCGGAAGAGGGAAGCGGAAUUUCCGGUGUAGCGGUGAAAUGCGUAGAUAUCGGAAGGAACACCAGUGGCGAAAGCGGCUUCCUGGUCCGACACCGACGUUCAGGCACGAAAGCGUGGGGAGCAAACAGGAUUAGAUACCCUGGUAGUCCACGCCAUAAACGAUGAGAACUAGACGUUGAGAGGGUAAGCCUCCCAGUGUCGUAGCUAACGCGCUAAG
rnacentral:rRNA from 1 species